UACGUAGGUGGCAAGCGUUGUCCGGAAUUAUUGGGCGUAAAGCGCGCGCAGGCGGUUCUUUAAGUCUGAUGUGAAAGCCCACGGCUCAACCGUGGAGGGUCAUUGGAAACUGGGGAACUUGAGUACAGAAGAGGAAAGCGGAAUUCCACGUGUAGCGGUGAAAUGCGUAGAGAUGUGGAGGAACACCAGUGGCGAAGGCGGCUUUCUGGUCUGUAACUGACGCUGAGGCGCGAAAGCGUGGGGGAGCAAACAGG
rnacentral:rRNA from 1 species